rnacentral:rRNA from 1 species
UACGGAGGGUGCGAGCGUUAAUCGGAAUUACUGGGCGUAAAGCGCGCGCAGGCGGUUUGUUAAGCUAGAUGUGAAAGCCCCGGGCUCAACCUGGGAUGGUCAUUUAGAACUGGCAGACCAGAGUCUUGGAGAGGGGAGUGGAAUUCCAGGUGUAGCGGUGAAAUGCGUAGAUAUCUGGGGGAACAUCAGUGGCGAAGGCGACUCCCUGGCCAAAGACUGACGCUCAUGUGCGGAAGUGUGGGUAGCGAACAGG